rnacentral:rRNA from 1 species
ACAGAUGGUUUAUCAUACCACCAUCUGCCAGAGAAUUACAAGUGAAAAACUUAAAACUCCAAGGACUUGACGGUGCCCCACACCAGCCUAGAGGAGCCUGUCCUAUAAUCGAUACCCCACGCUCCACCUCACCCCCCCUUGCCAAACCCCGCCUAUAUACCGCCGUCGUCAGCCCACCUACUGAUAGCAACAAAAGUCAGCAUAAUAGCACCCCGCUAGCACGUCAGGUCAAGGUGUAGCUAAUGGGGGGGGACUAAGAUGGGCUACAUUUGCUAACCUCUAGCAAACCCCACUGAAAGCCCCAUGAAACAAAGGGCCAGAAGGCGGAUUUAGCAGUAAACACCGGCAAGACCUGCCAAUUUGAACACCGCUCUGGGGCGCGUACACACCG